ACACAUGCAAGUCGAGCGGCAGCACGGGUACUUGUACCUGGUGGCGAGCGGCGGACGGGUGAGUAAUGCCUAGGAAUCUGCCUGGUAGUGGGGGAUAACGCUCGGAAACGGACGCUAAUACCGCAUACGUCCUACGGGAGAAAGCAGGGGACCUUCGGGCCUUGCGCUAUCAGAUGAGCCUAGGUCGGAUUAGCUAGUUGGUGAGGUAAUGGCUCACCAAGGCGACGAUCCGUAACUGGUCUGAGAGGAUGAUCAGUCACACUGGAACUGAGACACGGUCCAGACUCCUACGGGAGGCAGCAGUGGGGAAUAUUGGACAAUGGGCGAAAGCCUGAUCCAGCCAU
rnacentral:rRNA from 1 species